AGUGCAGUUCAGCACCUUUUCAGAUUCCUGUUGGCCAUUUGUGGAGUCUCACUCUGUAGCCCAAGCUGGAGUGGCGUGAUCUCGACUCACUGCAACCUCCGCCUCCUGGGAUCAAGUGAUUCUCGUGCCUCAGCCUCCUGAGUAGCCGGGACUACAGCUCAGCAAGGCCCACAUUUUCCCGGUGAAGCCACAGAACCACAGGGAGAAACCCAUGGACUUCGCCUCUCUCUCUAGGGGACCAGAUGUGCAGAGGUAAUGAAUACCAGGGAAUCAGGAAACCACUGGAUCAGUUCUUUGAGCCACAGAACAACACUCAUCCCAGCAGCUGGGAAGCUAUCUGCAAAAGUCCAUCUGCAGAAAGGGCUUCCUGGUCUUGCGUGUGGCUGGGCCAUUUCUCUGGAUGCAGGUUUUUCAUUAUACAGUCUUCUCAAAGAACCACCUGCUCUCAACACC
rnacentral:lncRNA from 10 species